rnacentral:rRNA from 1 species
UACAGAGGGUGCGAGCGUUGUCCGGAAUCACUGGGCGUAAAGGGCGCGUAGGUGGCGACCCAAGUCCGUGGUGAAAGCUCGUCGCUUAACGACGAGUCGGCCACGGAGACUGGGUGGCUUGAGCACUGUAGGGGGCUAAUGGAAUUCCGGGUGUAGCGGUGGAAUGCGUAGAGAUCCGGAAGAACACCGGUGGCGAAGGCGGCCUGCUGGGCAGUGGCUGACGCUGAGGCGCGACAGCGUGGGGAG